GGUUCUCAAAUUCUUCAAUUUCUCAUUUGGUUUAGAAUGAUAGCAGUUGAAUUGAGCAGAUUUGGAGCAUGUUGUUCCGCCAUAUUGAGUCACGGUCAUAGGUUGUAUGGCCUACUUUACCAGACUAUAUUGUACAUGUUUCUUUGAGUUAUAUGUAGUUUAUGUCAGAAAAGGUUAUCAUGGGUUCACUGGAUAUUUGGAGUCUUUAGUAUAUUUGAGAAUUGUUGGUUGUAAAGAAAGGAAAUGUUGAUUUGCCGACAUUUUAUUUGAA